rnacentral:rRNA from 1 species
AUUGAACGCUGGCGGCAUGCUUUACACAUGCAAGUCGAACGGCAGCGCGGGCUUCGGCCUGGCGGCGCGUGGCGAACGGGUGAGUAAUACACCGGAACGUGCCCAGCAGUGGGGGAUAGCUCGGCGAAAGCCGGAUUAAUACCGCAUACGACAUGAGGGUGAAAGCGGGGGAUCUUCGGACCUCGCGCUAUUGGAGCGGCCGAUGGCAGAUUAGCUAGCUGGUGGGGUAAAGGGCUACCAAGGCGACGAUCUGUAGCUGGUCUGAGUGGACGACCAGCCACCCGGGGACUGGGACCCGGCCCAGACUCCUACGGGAGGCAGCAGUGGGGAAUUUUGGACAAUGGGCGGAAGCCUGAUCCAGGAAUGGCGCGUGUGUUGUGGAAGCCUUCGGGUUGUAAAGCACUUUUGGCGGGAACGAAAAGGACUGUGCCAAUACCACGGUUCGAUGACGGUACCCGCAGAAUAAGCACCGGCUAACUACGUG